AAGGGCUCGGUGGGCAUUAGGGCUGGGCAGACGCCGGGGAAGCGCUGGGCUACAGGCGGUUGGUGGGUGGAAUCUUGCUUCCUGCUCGACGGAAGGGCGGAGCUUUGGGUCUCCAUGGAGACGGCUUCCAGCAACCUGGAAAGCGUAGAGCUGAGCCUCCAGCGCGAUGGAUGCGGAUAGCCUCCUGCUGUCGCUGGAGCUGGCGUCCGGCAGUGGGCAGGGCCUCAGCCCGGACCGUCGGGCCUCACUACUGACUUCUCUUACGCUGGUUAAACGCGAUUACCGCUACGAUCGGGUGCUCUUCUGGGGUCGCAUCUUCGGCCUCGUCGCCGAUUACUACAUCGCACAGGGCCUGAGUGAGGACCAGCUUGCACCGCGCAAGACACUGUACAGCCUGAACUGCGUGGAAUGGAGCCUCUUGCCCCCUGCCACAGAGGAGAUGGCGGCGCAGACAGCUGUGGUGAAGGGCCGCUUCCUGGGGGACCCCUCCCACGAGUAUGAACACACGGAGCUGCAGACGGUGAACGACGGCGAUAAGGUCUUUGAAGAAGAAGUAGUGGUCCAGAUCAAGGAAGAGACACGCUUGGUGUCCAUCAUCGACCAGAUUGACAAGGAGGUGGCUGUCGUCCCUCGCGGUGUCCUGUUUAAGACCCCUUUUGGGCCCGUCCAUGUCAAUCGGACUUUUGAAGGACUGUCCUUGUCCGAAGCCAAGAAGCUCAGUUCCUACUUCCACUUCAGAGAGCCUGUGGAGCUGAAGAACAAGACCUUGCUUGAGAAGGCUGACUUAGACCCGUCCCUGGACUUCCUGGACUCCUUGGAGCAUGACAUCCCCAAAGGGCCUGGAGCAGAGCUGCGGCAGGGCUGGGGAGGGGCCUCGGCGCACAGGGGAAUAGAAGCUCCAGAUCUGCAUCCAGAGGCGAUUUUCCCAGGCUCCUUCCUCCCACACAGCGGCUCCCUCCCUCAGUCCUGGAGAUGGAUCCGGCCCUUCUCGCCAAGUCCUCAUGGCUGCACGACUCAGCCCGCAGCUGGGCUGCUCCUGUCUGGGGAGCAAAAACCGGGGCAAGACCCAGGAUAGACAAAGGCUCAUUAGCUGCAGCCCGGUUCCCCUCCUGCCAAACUUCUAUGGGAGCCCCUGGUCGGGUCUAAGCCGUCUCAGAGCAGAGGCUUCUGGGACUGGGGAAGAGAGCAAAAUGGCAAGUCGGGGGAAACUACUAGGGCUGAAGGUCACUGGUGACUUCCCCUAGUAGAGGGUGAGAGGGGGCGGGAGAAAGUCUCCCCAAGCCUGGCCCCAACUCCCCUCUGCCUGUGGCUUCAGCUUCCUCCCCCACUCAACCUUUAACUAGACUUGCUGACAGGAACAAAACACACUGGUUUGAGUUUCACCGCUUUUCAUUUCCUUUGCCCUCCCUCUGGAAGCGGUUUUAAUGAACAGGGAAAUGGCUAAAAGGCAAUCAGGAGGAGUCAAGUGCCGGGAUAAUUAAAUUGUCUCCCUUUCCCCAGUGGAGCCUUGCACCGGGGCCUGGGGCGGGUGCAGACCCAGCAGAGCGCUGGCUCCGCAGCCCAGGCCUGCCUCUUCCCCAGGGUCCUGGAGCGUCCAGAUGGAGAGGGGCAAUGCCCUGGUGGUGCUGCGCAGCCUGCUGUGGCCAGGCCUCACCUUCUACCAUGCUCCCCGCACCAAGAACUGUGGCUACGUCUACAUGGGCACCGGAGUGGGGAGCCCACAGCCAUG